GACCUGCUUGGGUAGAUGGAGAAUGGAAAUGCUGGGAAGGGGCAUGGCGGGGAAAGAUGUGGUUCAAGAUCCUGCAAGGGUGAAGAUCCAGACAGUGGGGGAGGACGGUCCUUAGAACCCAGCUUUGCAUCAGCAGCCCAGGGCUGAAAAUGUAAAUGUUCAAUAGCUGUGAGAUGGUGGCACACACCUUUAAUCCUAGACUGGGGAGACAGAGGCAGAAGGAUCUCUGAGUGUUUGAGACUAGCCUGGUCUACAGAGUGAGGUGUGGGAUAGCCAGGGCUAUGCAGAGAAACCCUGUCUCAAACAAACAAACAAACAACAAAGAAACAAAAAGAAAGAAAGAAGAAAAGAAAAAAUCCAAAAGUAAGAAAUAACAAAGAAUAGCAGAGCAACAAAGAAUAACAAAGAAUAACAAAUGUGAGAUGAGAUCCCUUGAGGAUUUCCUUCCAGCUAUGCUCAGACCACAGUGGAUGGGCUCAAAAACUGCUCAGGGCUAGAUUCCUCAGGGUUCUGUAACCUCUGAUGGGGUCCCUCAUACAAAAGUGGCAAAAGUGGGUGAGUUCUCUAGUCCUGUGAUGGAAUAACAAUGGUGGGGCAGUUUCUAGCCAGUCAGAUAGAGAACAUCACGGACAUGAGGCUGACUUUCAGCCCCAUGAAGUUGAGACACUGAGGUCUCUCUGCAGAGAAUGUCUGGCCAGACAAAUCCUGUGAAGUCAGCCAAUCAACAUAUGGAGACCAACAAGGCACCCUUUCCCUUUCCCCGAAAGGGAGUGGGCUGUGUCAUCAGUAGGCUAGGACUGCAAUCUUUGUGCCCUGUGCAGUCUGCCUCCUGUCCCCACAGUGGGGGUAAAUACUGACACCAAGACAGAGCCCAUCAGCUCUGAUAAAUACCCUGGGUGACGCAGCCAGGUGUGGACGCUGCGCUAGAGCGCCUGUGGCUGGAGCUGCGAUUCUGGCCCUUUUUCCACCUUAUUACCCUCCCUGGCAGGGAACAGAUGGGCGUAAGGGAUGGUAGACUGGAGACCCUACCCUCUCCCCUUCUUAGACUAGGCUGCUGAAAUCUCACUCAGGUCUCAGGCUUUGAGAGACCCAACUGUGGGUGAAAUCUGGAAGAUGCAAGUCUGAAUCAGUCUGUAAGUGAUAAGUCAGCCUGUCUUGCCUUUAGAUCAAGCCCCCUUCUUCACAGCACAUAUCUGGCACUCCAGCCACCUGGACUGUCAUUUUCCCAUGCCACCACCCCUCCCAGCAAGCUCCAACAGGACAAAGGACACUUGGGUGUUUGCAGUGUGGCCACCGGUUUUCUCUGCAGGUGGCCGAGGGUGUGAGCUGGAUGACCCAGCGGCCAAAGGGGGGAGCAUCCUGGGGGGAUCCUCUUGGUUCCUUAGGAGCCAAAGUUGGAGUGGUAGCAACAUUUUUUUUGAUCUUAGGAAUCCCCAGAGUUAUCAACUGGAAGGGUGUUUUGGUCAAAACAGAGAAACUAGACCGGGUCAUAGUCCUAUGGCAAGGGACAGGAUCUGGGGCCACAGGCUGUGACAAAGCCUAAUUCCUGAGUCCUCCCCGGAAAAGGGGCGGAGAUACCCACCGACUCCGGUGAGCUCAGAGUCCCCCUUCUAUGUCUCCAAGACAGAAGAACAGCAAAAUAUCCCUGGCCGAUCCUCGGAGGAUGCGAGAACCAAGAGAUUGCGCUCCCAGAGAACAGAAAGGAGAAGUUGAGAACCUUAACCUGCGGGAGACCGUUAGGGAAUCAGGUGACUCUAACCAUGACAGAAGGACACAUUUCCCGGUUUGAAAACUAAGGUGUUAGACGGAGGUGAGAACCACCAAAGACCUCAGGGACAGCUGGCUUACGUCCAGGAGCAGGCCCUGACCGGGAUCCGACCCCACGGGUCCCUUCCGAGAACCCUCACCAAGUGUACCAUAACCCCGAGGAUCCAAUCUUGCGCACCCUGGACUUCAGAGAGCCUCCACGGGUGAUUCCUGACCCGGCAGGUGCAGGUCCGGGUGCGGGUCCGAGUUCGCCAAGGGAAUAACAUGUGACGCAAAGAGCCCCUUUCUCUUGCAAUGUCCACUGUCCUGGGGUCGCAUCUUUGCGUUCAGGUCCGCCAGAAGACCCUGCCAGGAUUCGGGGCACGGGAUGCUCUCAGAGGCCGUGUCUUCUGUGCUUCUAUUUUCAGAAGAGUCCACCAGAGAUCCUGACAGGGAGCCGCCCUUUCUGUUUUGAUCCAGGCAAUGGCCAGAAGGCAAAGGUUAGAAGGCAAAGACCUGUUUGUUUCCGCCCUGUGGGGGCCACUUGUGCAAGCCUGAGGGACAGAUACAGCCCUUCCUUCAUUCAACUCCCGUUCCACCUCCCUGGGGCACAGGCUGAAGGACUGAACACCACAGCCUGUGUCUGCCCCUCCAUGACCUGGUAAUGAGACUUAGGGACGAGAGGGUGGCAGGAACUCUGUGCCAGUAUAGCACUGGGCUGGAGGUGCUAGGUCUACAGUGGCCAGGGACAGAGUGGGAGCAGGCACUGGUCUGCAGUUGCCUCUGUCUAGAUUCUGUCGUUCAGCUGGGCUUCCUGCACCUUAAGGAGAGGACUCACUGAAGGAUGAAGGUCUUUCCUUAAAAAGGACCUUACCCUCUAUACUGGCUGGUUCUGUGUGUCAACUUGACACAAGCUGGAGUCAGAGAGAAAUGAGCCUCCGUUGAGGAAAUGCCUCCAUGAGAUCCAGCUGUAAGACAUUUUCUCAACUAGUGGUCAAGGGAGGAAGACCCAGUCCAUUGUGGGUGGUGCCAUCCCUGGGCUGGUGGUCUUAGGUUCUAUAAGAGAGCAAGCUGAGCAAGCCAGGGGAAGCAAACCCAUAAGUAACAUCCCUGCAUGACCUCUGCAUCAGCUCCUGCUUCCUGACCUGCGUGAGUUCCAGUUCUGACUUCCUUUGGUGAUGAACAGCGAUGUGGAAGUGUAAGCUGAAUAAACCUUUUCCUCCCUGA